UCCAUCCACCGUUUCUUUGUCAGUUUUGCAACUCUUAAAGAGAUGAUUAUGAUAUAUCCAGAGUCUUUUUUUACCAAGGCUGCUUUUUAUGCUUCUAGUUUAUCUCACUCAGUUUACUUCCUUACAUCCUUUUCAGUGAUCGCAAUAUGCUCUGGAGUCUGUUAAGUUUAAACUUUGGCAGACACUUGAAUGACAGAAUUUGGUGCAAAAAGGUUUAAACCUGCGUAGACAGGACUUUUCGCUAAGGCACGCCACAAGACAGCUUGACUGCUAAGUCCCAAAACAUAUACCGAAACAUCCAAUCGGGAACCUUAGAAGAAACGGCCAUAGCUCCUCUUUUGGAAGCAGAAUGAAGAUAAUGAAGAUAUUAAAGAAAAAAAAACAAGGCCGUUCCCAUUAGUCACGAGAUUCAAAUGCAAACCAAAGUCAGUUUGCUCUUCUG